rnacentral:rRNA from 1 species
AAACGCCUACGGGGCGCAGCAGUGGGGAAUAUUGGGCAAUGGGCGCAAGCCUGACCCAGCAACGCCGCGUGAAGGAAGAAGGCUUUCGGGUUGUAAGCUUCUUUUCUCAGGGACGAAGCAAGUGACGGUACCUGAGGAAUAAGCCACGGCUAACUACGUGCCAGCAGCCGCGGUAAUACGUAGGUGGCAAGCGUUAUCCGGAUUUACUGGGUGUAAAGGGCGUGUAGGCGGGAAAGCAAGUCAGAUGUGAAAACCACGGGCUCAACCUGUGGCCUGCGUUUGAAACUGUUUUUCUUGAGUACUGG